AGUUUUACGCAGUGGCAAUAUCAUAGCCAAUGAGGUUUAUCCGAGGUGCGAUUAUUGCUAAUUGAAAAAAAAAAAAAGU
rnacentral:snRNA from 1 species